rnacentral:rRNA from 1 species
UACGUAGGGUGCAAGCGUUGUCCGGAAUUAUUGGGCGUAAAGAGCUCGUAGGCGGUUCGUCACGUCGGCUGUGAAAUCCCGAGGCUCAACCUCGGGUCUGCAGUCGAUACGGGCGGACUGGAGUUCGGCAGGGGAGACUGGAAUUCCUGGUGUAGCGGUGAAAUGCGCAGAUAUCAGGAAGAACACCCGUGGCGAAGGCGGCUCUCUGGAACGCAACUGACGCUGAGACGCGAAAGCGUGGGGAGCAAACAGG